rnacentral:rRNA from 1 species
GACGAACGCUGGCGGCGUGCUUAACACAUGCAAGUCGAACGGAAAGGCCUUUUCGGAGGUACUCGAGUGGCGAACGGGUGAGUAACACGUGGGUGAUCUGCCCUGCACUCUGGGAUAAGCCUGGGAAACUGGGUCUAAUACCGGAUAGGACCGCACUUUAGUGUGUGUGGUGGCAAGUUUUUUCGGUGUAGGAUGAGCCCGCGGCCUAUCAGCUUGUUGGUGGGGUAAUGGCCUACCAAGGCGGCGACGGGUAGCCGGACUGAGAGGUUGGUCGGCCACAUUGGGACUGAGAUACGGCCCAGACUCCUACGGGAGGCAGCAGGGGGGAAGAUUGCACAAUGGGCGCAAGCCUGAUGCAGCGACGCCGCGGGGGGGAUGACGGCCUUCGGGUUGGAAACUCCUUUCGCCAGGGACGAAGCGUUUUGUGACGGUACCUGGAGAAGAAGCACCGGCUAACUACGUG